rnacentral:rRNA from 1 species
ACCUGACUGCUAUCGGAUUGAUACUAAGCCAUGCGAGUCAUUGUAGCAAUACAAGGCAUACGGCUCAGUAACGCGUAGUCAACCUAACCUAUGGACGGGAAUAACCUCGGGAAACUGAGAAUAAUGCCCGAUAGAACAUUAUACCUGGAAUGGUUUAUGUUCCAAAUGAUUUAUCGCCGUAGGAUGGGACUGCGGCCUAUCAGUUUGUUGGUGAGGUAAUGGCCCACCAAGACUAUUACAGGUACGGGCUCUGAGAGGAGUAGCCCGGAGAUGGGUACUGAGACACGGACCCAGGCCCUAUGGGGCGCAGCAGGCGAGAAAACUUUGCAAUGUGCGAAAGCACGACAAGGUUAAUCCGAGUGAUUUGUGCUAAACGAAUCUUUUGUUAGUCCUAGAAACACUAACGAAUAAGGGGUGGGCAAGUUCUGGUGUCAGCCGCCGCGGUAAAACCAGCACCUCAAGUGGUCAGGAUGAUUAUUGGGCCUAAAGCAUCCGUAGCCGGCUCUGUAAGUUUUCGGUUAAAUCUGUACGCUCAACGUACAGGCUGCCGGGAAUACUGCAGAACUAGGGAGUGGGAGAGGUAGACGGUACUCGGUAGGGAGUGGUAAAAUGCUUUGAUCUAUCGAUGACCACCUGUGGCGAAGGCGGUCUACCAGAACACGUCCGACGGUGAGGGAUGAAAGCUGGGGGAGCAAACCGGAUUAGAUACCCGGGUAGUCCCAGCUGUAAACUAUGCAAACUCAGUGAUGCAUUGGCUUGUGGCCAAUGCAGUGCUGCAGGGAAGCCGUUAAGUUUGCCGCCUGGGAAGUACGUACGCAAGUAUGAAACUUAAAGGAAUUGGCGGGGGAGCACCACAAGGGGUGAAGCCUGCGGUUC